rnacentral:rRNA from 1 species
AUUGAACGCUGGCGGCAGGCCUAACACAUGCAAGUCGAACGAGUGGCGGACGGGUGAGUAAUGUCUGGGAAACUGCCUGAUGGAGGGGGAUAACUACUGGAAACGGUAGCUAAUACCGCAUACCAUCGGAUGUGCACAGAUGGGAGUAGCUAGUAGGUGGGGUAAAGGCUCACCUAGGCGGAGAUCCCUAGCUGGUAGUAGAGGAUGACCAGCCAACCUGGAAAUGAGACACGGUCCAGACUCCUACGGGAGGCAGUAGGGGGGAAUAUUGCACAAUGGGCGCAAGACGUAUGCAGCCAUGCCGCGUGUAUGAAGAAGGCCUUCGGGCUGUAAAGUACUUUCAGCGGGGAGGCGUUACCCGCAGAAGAAGCACCGGCUAACUCCGUGCCAGCAGCCGCGGUAAUAC